rnacentral:rRNA from 1 species
AUUGAACGCUGGCGGAAUGCUUAACACAUGCAAGUCGAGCGGCAGCACGGGGGUAACCCUUGUGUCGAGCGGCGAACGGGUGAGUAAUACAUCGGAACAUGCCCAGUCGUGGGGGAUAACACUUCGAAAGAAGUGCUAAUACCGCAUACGUCCUGAGGGAGAAAGCGGGGGAUCUCAGGACCUCGCGCUAUUAGAGUAGCCGAGGUCGGAUUAGCUAGUUGGUGGGGUAAAGGCCUACCAAGGCAACGAUCUGUAACUGGUCUGAGAGGAUGAUCAGCCACACUGGGACUGAGACACGGCCCAGACUCCUACGGGAGGCAGCAGUGGGGAAUUUUGGACAAUGGGGGCAAGCCUGAUCCAGCCAUGCCGCGUGAGUGAAGAAGGCCUUCGGGUUGUAAAGCUCUUUAGGCAGGAAGGAAGCGGAGAGAUCUAACAUAGCUCGCUAAUGACGUUACCUGAAGAAGAAGCACCGGCUAACUACGUG